rnacentral:rRNA from 1 species
CCAGACUCCUACGGGAGGCAGCAGUGGGGAUAUUGCACAAUGGGGGGAACCCUGAUGCAGCGACGCCGCGUGAGUGAAGAAGUAUUUCGGUAUGUAAAGCUCUAUCAGCAGGGAAGAAAGAGACGAAAGUCUUGUGACAGUACCUGACUAAGAAGCCCCGGCUAACUACGUGCCAGCAGCCGCGGUAAUACGUAGGGAGCGAGCGUUAUCCGGAAUUAUUGGGUGUAAAGGGUGCGUAGACGGGUAAAUAAGUUAGUUGUGAAAUCCCUCGGCUCAACUGAGGAACUGCAACUAAAACUGUAUAUCUUGAGUGCGGGAGAGGAAAGUGGAAUUCCUAGUGUAGCGGUGAAAUGCGUAGAUAUUAGGAGGAACACCAGUGGCGAAGGCGACUUUCUGGACCGUAACUGACGUUGAGGCACGAAAGUGUGGGGAGCAAACAGGAUUAGAUACCCUGUA